UUAAGUUAUUAAGGGCGCACGGUGGAUGCCUUGGCACUAGAAGCCGAUGAAGGACGUUACUAACGACGAUAUGCUUUGGGGAGCUGUAAGUAAGCUUUGAUCCAGAGAUUUCCGAAUGGGGAAACCCAGCAUGAGUUAUGUCAUGUUAUCGAUAUGUGAAUACAUAGCAUAUCAGAAGGCACACCCGGAGAACUGAAACAUCUUAGUACCCGGAGGAAGAAAAAGAAAAUUCGAUUCCCUUAGUAGCGGCGAGCGAAAUGGGAAGAGCCCAAACCAACAAGCUUGCUUGUUGGGGUUGUAGGACACUCUAUACGGAGUUACAAAGGACGACAUUAGACGAAUCAUCUGGAAAGAUGAAUCAAAGAAGGUAAUAAUCCUGUAGUCGAAAAUGUUGUCUCUCUUGAGUGGAUCCUGAGUACGACGGAACACGUGAAAUUCCGUCGGAAUCUGGGAGGACCAUCUCCUAAGGCUAAAUACUCUCUAGUGACCGAUAGUGAACCAGUACCGUGAGGGAAAGGUGAAAAGCACCCCGGAAGGGGAGUGAAAUAGAACCUGAAACCGUGUGCUUACAAGUAGUCAGAGCCCGUUAAUGGGUGAUGGCGUGCCUUUUGUAGAAUGAACCGGCGAGUUACGAUUUGAUGCAAGGUUAAGCAGUAAAUGUGGAGCCGUAGCGAAAGCGAGUCUGAAUAGGGCGUUUAGUAUUUGGUCGUAGACCCGAAACCAGGUGAUCUACCCUUGGUCAGGUUGAAGUUCAGGUAACACUGAAUGGAGGACCGAACCGACUUACGUUGAAAAGUGAGCGGAUGAACUGAGGGUAGCGGAGAAAUUCCAAUCGAACCUGGAGAUAGCUGGUUCUCUCCGAAAUAGCUUUAGGGCUAGCCUCAAGUGAUGAUUAUUGGAGGUAGAGCACUGUUUGGACGAGGGGCCCCUCUCGGGUUACCGAAUUCAGACAAACUCCGAAUGCCAAUUAAUUUAACUUGGGAGUCAGAACAUGGGUGAUAAGGUCCGUGUUCGAAAGGGAAACAGCCCAGACCACCAGCUAAGGUCCCAAAAUAUAUGUUAAGUGGAAAAGGAUGUGGCGUUGCCCAGACAACUAGGAUGUUGGCUUAGAAGCAGCCAUCAUUUAAAGAGUGCGUAAUAGCUCACUAGUCGAGUGACACUGCGCCGAAAAUGUACCGGGGCUAAACAUAUUACCGAAGCUGUGGAUUGUCCUUUGGACAAUGGUAGGAGAGCGUUCUAAGGGCGUUGAAGCAUGAUCGUAAGGACAUGUGGAGCGCUUAGAAGUGAGAAUGCCGGUGUGAGUAGCGAAAGACGGGUGAGAAUCCCGUCCACCGAUUGACUAAGGUUUCCAGAGGAAGGCUCGUCCGCUCUGGGUUAGUCGGGUCCUAAGCUGAGGCCGACAGGCGUAGGCGAUGGAUAACAGGUUGAUAUUCCUGUACCACCUAUAAUCGUUUUAAUCGAUGGGGGGACGCAGUAGGAUAGGCGAAGCGUGCGAUUGGAUUGCACGUCUAAGCAGUAAGGCUGAGUAUUAGGCAAAUCCGGUACUCGUUAAGGCUGAGCUGUGAUGGGGAGAAGACAUUGAGUCUUCGAGUCGUUGAUUUCACACUGCCGAGAAAAGCCUCUAGAUAGAAAAUAGGUGCCCGUACCGCAAACCGACACAGGUAGUCAAGAUGAGAAUUCUAAGGUGAGCGAGCGAACUCUCGUUAAGGAACUCGGCAAAAUGACCCCGUAACUUCGGGAGAAGGGGUGCUCUUUAGGGUUAACGCCCAGAAGAGCCGCAGUGAAUAGGCCCAAGCGACUGUUUAUCAAAAACACAGGUCUCUGCUAAACCGUAAGGUGAUGUAUAGGGGCUGACGCCUGCCCGGUGCUGGAAGGUUAAGAGGAGUGGUUAGCUUCUGCGAAGCUACGAAUCGAAGCCCCAGUAAACGGCGGCCGUAACUAUAACGGUCCUAAGGUAGCGAAAUUCCUUGUCGGGUAAGUUCCGACCCGCACGAAAGGCGUAACGAUUUGGGCACUGUCUCAACGAGAGACUCGGUGAAAUCAUAGUACCUGUGAAGAUGCAGGUUACCCGCGACAGGACGGAAAGACCCCGUGGAGCUUUACUGUAGCCUGAUAUUGAAAUUCGGCACAGCUUGUACAGGAUAGGUAGGAGCCUUUGAAACGUGAGCGCUAGCUUACGUGGAGGCGCUGGUGGGAUACUACCCUAGCUGUGUUGGCUUUCUAACCCGCACCACUUAUCGUGGUGGGAGACAGUGUCAGGCGGGCAGUUUGACUGGGGCGGUCGCCUCCUAAAAGGUAACGGAGGCGCUCAAAGGUUCCCUCAGAAUGGUUGGAAAUCAUUCAUAGAGUGUAAAGGCAUAAGGGAGCUUGACUGCGAGACCUACAAGUCGAGCAGGGUCGAAAGACGGACUUAGUGAUCCGGUGGUUCCGCAUGGAAGGGCCAUCGCUCAACGGAUAAAAGCUACCCCGGGGAUAACAGGCUUAUCUCCCCCAAGAGUUCACAUCGACGGGGAGGUUUGGCACCUCGAUGUCGGCUCAUCGCAUCCUGGGGCUGUAGUCGGUCCCAAGGGUUGGGCUGUUCGCCCAUUAAAGCGGUACGCGAGCUGGGUUCAGAACGUCGUGAGACAGUUCGGUCCCUAUCCGUCGUGGGCGUAGGAAAUUUGAGAGGAGCUGUCCUUAGUACGAGAGGACCGGGAUGGACAUACCUCUGGUGUACCAGUUGUCGUGCCAACGGCAUAGCUGGGUAGCUAUGUGUGGACGGGAUAAGUGCUGAAAGCAUCUAAGCAUGAAGCCCCCCUCAAGAUGAGAUUUCCCAACUUCGGUUAUAAGAUCCCUCAAAGAUGAUGAGGUUAAUAGGUUCGAGGUGGAAGCAUGGUGACAUGUGGAGCUGACGAAUACUAAUCGAUCGAAGACUUAAUCAA
rnacentral:rRNA from 1 species